rnacentral:rRNA from 1 species
UAAUACGUAGGAUCCAAGCGUUGUCCGGAUUUACUGGGUGUAAAGGGUGCGCAGGCGGAAUGGUAAGUCAGAGGUGAAAUCUCAUCGCUCAACGGUGAAACUGCCUUUGAUACUAUCAUUCUUGAGUCCGAUAGAGAUCUGUGGAAUUCCGAGUGUAGCAGUGAAAUGUGUAGAUAUUCGGAAGAACACCAGUGGCGAAGGCAGCAGAUUGGGUCGGUACUGACGCUCAGGCACGAAAGCAUGGGGAUCAAACAGGAUUAGAUACCCUGGUAGUCCAUGCCCUAAACGAUGUACACUUGAUAUCGGCCCUCAGGGUCGGUGUCGGAGCUAACGCGUUAAGUGUACCACCUGGGGAGUACGCUCGCAAGGGUG